rnacentral:rRNA from 1 species
AUUGAACGCUGGCGGCAGGCCUAACACAUGCAAGUCGAACGGUAACAGGGAGCUUGUUGCUGGUUUGAGGGGCGGAGGGGGGAGGAAUGCCUAUGAAUCUGCAUGUGAGUGGUGGAUAAGGUUCGGAACUGGGCGCGAUUACUGCAUACGCACUGCGGCGGAAGACGGGGGAGCUUCGGAUUUCACGCUCUCGCCUUCGCCUAGGUCGGAUUAGCUAGUGGGUGGGGUAAAGGCCUACCCAGGCGACGAUCCGUAGCUGGUCUGAGAGGAUGACCAGCCACACUGGAACUGAGACACGGUCCAGACUCCUACGGGAGGCAGCAGUGGGGAAUAUUGGACAAUGGGCGAAAGCCUGAUCCAGCCAUGCCGCGUGUAUGAAGAAGGCCUUCGGAUUGUAAAGUACUUUCAGUGGGGAGGAAGGGCAGUAAGUUAAUACCUUGCUUUAUUGACGUUACCCGCAGAAUAAGCACCGGCUAACUUCGUG